rnacentral:rRNA from 1 species
UACGGAGGGUCCAAGCGUUAUCCGGAAUCAUUGGGUUUAAAGGGUCCGUAGGCGGUUUUGUAAGUCAGUGGUGAAAGCCCAUCGCUCAACGGUGGAACGGCCAUUGAUACUGCAAGACUUGAAUUAUUGGGAAGCAACUAGAAUAUGUAGUGUAGCGGUGAAAUGCUUAGAGAUUACAUGGAAUACCAAUUGCGAAGGCAGGUUGCUACCAAUACAUUGACGCUGAUGGACGAAAGCGUGGGGAGCGAACGAGG